rnacentral:rRNA from 1 species
GACGAACGCUGGCGGCGUGCCUAAUACAUGCAAGUUGAGCGCUGAAGGUUGGUACUUGUACCAACUGGAUGAGCAGCGAACGGGUGAGUAACGCGUGGGGAAUCUGCCUUUGAGCGGGGGACAACAUUUGGAAACGAAUGCUAAUACCGCAUAAAAACUUUAAACACAAGUUUUAAGUUUGAAAGAUGCAAUUGCAUCACUCAAAGAUGAUCCCGCGUUUUAUUAGCUAGUUGGUGAGGUAAAGGCUCACCAAGGCGAUGAUACAUAGCCGACCUGAGAGGGUGGACGGCCAAAAUGGGACUGAGACAAGGCCCAAAAUCCUACGGGAAGCAGCAGUAGGGGAUCAUUGGAAAAGGACGAAAGUCUGAACGAGCAACGCCGCGGGAGUGAAGAAGGUUUUCGGAUCGUAAAACUCUGUUGGUAGAGAAGAACGUUGGUGAGAGUGGAAAGCUCAUCAAGUGACGGUAACUACCCAGAAAGGGACGGCUAACUACGUG